rnacentral:lncRNA from 1 species
UGUUCAAAGUUACUUUGAAAUUAAGCUUUAUUUACUUCUUUUUACAUGAUCAUUUACAGAUGUGUAAGAAAAAAAGAUAUGUCUGGUAGGUUUACACUGAAAGCAACGGUCAUCUAGGAAAUGCAAUUACAUCUCCUGAAAGCAGAAAGCAAAUGAAUAAUUCCCACAGGAAAUGGAACAUCCAGAUACGUUUUCAAGGUAAUACCCUGUGUGUAUCACGAUGCUGUUUUGAAAAUAUGCCACUUAUGAAGAAAUAGGAACUGGAGUUCAGGCCUGACACUGUUCCUCCUCAAGAAUUAAACUUUAACACUUCUCAAAACACUGAGUGAUUUUCUGCAUUGUUGCCAUUUCAUAUAUUGAUGCACAUAUAAGCUUCUUACUUGAAGGGUAAGUACAGCUUAUUUUAUUUUACAGCCAUCCACUUCUUUCCCUGGGUUUUACCAUUUCUGUAAGGGAGUCAUCGUGGUUAUUAGUGUGAUCACCUUUCUAACUAAAUAGCUUGAUUUCUGUAUGUAUUAAAGCUGAUUUGGAACACUGAAAAAAUCAUAAAACUCUGGGCAACCUUGCAUUUUGCAGGACAAGACACUCUGGGAGAGGGUCCAAAUUCACACACAUUGCACAUUAGCAG